rnacentral:rRNA from 1 species
GAUGAACGCUAGCGGCAGGCCUAAUACAUGCAAGACGAACGGUAAGUUGAGUAGCAAUACUUAGCCAAGAGUGUCGUACGGGUGCGUAACACGUAUGCAACCUACCCUAUACAGGAGGAUAGCCUAGGGAAACCUGGAUUAACCCUUCAUAGUAUUAUUGGAUGGCAUCAUUUGAUAAUUAAAACUGAGGUGGUAUAGGAUGGGCAUGCGUCUGAUUAGUUAGUUGGCGGGGUAAUGGCCCACCAAGACGAUGAUCAGUAGGGGUUCUGAGAGGAAGAUCCCCCACACUGGCACUGAGAUACGGGCCAGACUCCUACGGGAGGCAGCAGUAGGGAAUAUUGGUCAAUGGAUGCAAGUCUGAACCAGCCAUGCCGCGUGCAGGAAGAAGGCCUUCUGGGGUUGUAAACUGCUUUUGCCAGGGGAUAAAAUUUCCAUGCGUGGAAAACUGAAGGUACCUGGUGAAUAAGCCACGGCUAACUACGUGCCAGCAGCCGCGGU